rnacentral:lncRNA from 1 species
AAAAAGAAAGGUAGAAAGCUUCAAAUUUUGCUUGGUGAGAUCAAUCCUAACCCUAAUCCUAACUAUUUUUUUAGUAUUAAUUACUAUUUUUUUAAAUUAACCUAAAAUUCAUCCACAUAAACCUAAUAAAAAUUGCAUGACAAGAGUAGAAACUUAAUUGUUAGAAGCAUUUAUUAUCUUAGAUUUUUUUUGGUGAUCGCUGG